UAUUGGUGUAAAAUUGGCUUAUGUAGGAUUAGAUAGUUGGUUGGGUAAAGCUUACCAAGUCUAUAAUUCUUAAUUGGUCUUAGCGGAUGAUCAAUCACAUUGGGACUGAAACAUGGCCCAAACUCAUUUUUGAGGCAGCAGUGGGGAAUAUUGGACAAUGAACGAAAGUUUGAUCCAGCAAUAUCAUGUGAGUGAAGAAGGUUUAUUUUAUUGUAAAGCUCUUUCAUUGAGGAGGAUAAUGACGUUACUCAAAAAAGAAGCCCCGACUAACCUCGUGCCAGCAGUCGCGGUAAUACGGGGGGGGCAAGCGUUACUCUUCGUUACUGGGUGUAAAGUGUAAUAAGGCGGUUUAAUAAGUUUUCAGUGAAAUCUUAAAAUUUUAUUUUAAAAAUACUGAUAAAUACUGUUAAACUUUGAGUAUAUUAGAAAAUAGUUGUAUGCUUAGUGUAGGGUUAAAAUCCGUAAAUAUUAAGAAGACAUUCAAUUGGUGAAAACUACUAUUUAUAAUAUUACUGACGCUGAAAUACAAAAGCGUGAGGAGCAAACAGGAUUAGAUACCCUGGUAGUUCACGCUGUGACCGAUGAAUAUUAGUUUUUGGAAAUUUAUUUUCAGAAGCUUAGCUAACGCGUUAAAUAUUCCACCUGGGGACUAUAAUCGCAAGAUUGAAACUCAAAGAAAUUGACUGAGAUUUGUACAAGCGGUGGAGCAUGUGGUUUAAUUCGAUAUAAAUCGAUGAAUCUUACCAAUUUUUGAUAUACAAAUAAUUUUUUGAAAAGAUACUUUUAUUUGUUUAAUUGUAUUUUUAAUUUGUACAGGUGUUGCAUGGCUGUCGUCAGUUCGUGUUGUGAAAUGUUUGGUUAAUUGCUUAAACGAACGUAACCCUUGUUUUUUAUUAACAAAUCUUUAGAGAUUUAUUUAAAAAAUAUUGCUAGUGAAACACUGUGAUGAAAGGAAGGAUGAAGUCAAGUCAGUAUGACCCUUAUAGAUUGGGCUACACACGUGCUACAAAGGUAAUUACAAAGAGACGCAACUAUGUGAAUAGAAGCAAACCUUUAAAAAUUAUCUCAGUUCGGAUUGUUCUCUGAAACUCGAGAACAUAAAGUUGGAAUCGCUAGUAAUCGUAAAUCAUCAAGUUACGGUGAAUACGUUAUCAAAUCUAGUACACACCGCCCGUCACGCCAUGGGAAUUAGUUUUAUUUGAAAUA
rnacentral:rRNA from 1 species